CCAUGGAGACACUGAACCCUACAUUCGACUGAGGCAUUAGUUCACAGCUAAGGUCCGUGACUUGGUUAGGUCUCAGUUGCCUCUAAUCUUCUCCUUUGUCAUCGUGGCUUCAGCUGUCCAGCAUUUCCAGGGACAGGCUAAUGAGGAAAGACACAGAUUAUGAGCUUCUGGAGAUGAAGGAUUCUGUCUAUUCAUCUUUGUAUUCCCACUAUCCAG